rnacentral:misc_RNA from 1 species
AAGUCGUAACAAGGUCUCCGUUGGUGAACCAGCGGAGGGAUCAUUAAUGAGUUUUCUAAACUCCAAACCCUUGAGAACAUACCUAGUUGCCUCGGCGGACUUGCCCUGGGACGACCUACCCUGCAGCGAGUUACCCUGUAACGAGUUGCCCUGUAGGGACCUGCCCUGUAGCCUGCUCGUCGGCGGCCAACCUAAACUCUGUUUUAUUGUGGCACUUCUGAGGAUUAUUCUAAAUGAAUUAAAACUUUCAACAACGGAUCUCUUGGUUCUG